rnacentral:rRNA from 1 species
GGCGCGCUUCACACAUGCAAGUCGAGCGAUGGCGCCGGUUUUCGGAUCGGUGUGCAGAGCGGCGGACGGGUGAGUAACACGUGAGUAACCUGCCCUGGGCGUGGGGAUAACCCUGGGAAACUGGGGCUAAUACCGGAUGGCCCUGCCUAUUCGCAUGGAUGGGUGGGGAAAGGUUCAUCUUCGUAAGGGGGUGUUCCGGCUUGGGAGGGGCUCGCGGCCCAUCAGCUUGUUGGUGCGGUGAGGGCGUACCAAGGCGAUGACGGGUAGCCGGCCUGAGAGGGUGAUCGGCCACACUGGGACUGAGACACGGCCCAGACUCCUACGGGAGGCAGCAGUGGGGAAUUUUGCGCAAUGGGCGGAAGCCUGACGCAGCGACGCCGUGUGGGGGAGGACGGCCUUCGGGUUGUAAACCUCUUUCGGCCCUGACGAAUGUGACGGUAGGGGCUAAAGAAGCGCCGGCUAACUACGUGCCAGCAGCCGCGGUAAUACGUAGGGCGCGAGCGUUGUCCGGAUUUACUGGGCGUAAAGGGCUCGUAGGCGGUUUGUCGCGUCGGUCGUGGAAAUGUCUGGCUUAACUGGGCACGUGCGGCUGAUACGGGCAGACUCGAGGGCGGUAGGGGCAAGCGGAAUUCCUGGUGUAGCGGUGAAAUGCGCAGAUAUCAGGAGGAACACCGAUGGC